rnacentral:rRNA from 1 species
UGGGGAAUUGUUCGCAAUGGGCGCACGCCUGACGACGCAACGCCGCGUGGAGGAUGAAGGUCUUCGGAUUGUAAACUCCUGUUGCCCGGGACGAAUGGCUCCGACCUAACACGUUGGAGUGUGACGGUACCGGGUGAGGAAGCCCCGGCUAACUCUGUGCCAGCAGCCGCGGUAAUACAGAGGGGGCAAGCGUUGUUCGGAAUUACUGGGCGUAAAGGGCGCGUAGGCGGCCUUCUAAGUCGAACGUGAAAUCCCCGGGCUCAACCCGGGAACUGCGUCCGAUACUGGAAGGCUUGAAUCCGGGAGAGGGAUGCGGAAUUCCAGGUGUAGCGGUGAAAUGCGUAGAUAUCUGGAGGAACACCGGUGGCGAAGGCGGCAUCCUGGACCGGUAUUGACGCUGAGGCGCGAAAGCCAGGGGAGCAAACGGGAUUAGAUACCCCGGUAGUCCUGGCCCUAAACGAUGAAUGCUUGGUGUGGCGGGUAUCGAUCCCUGCCGUGCCGAAGCUAACGCAUUAAGCAUUCCGCCUGGGGAGUACGGUCGCAAGGCUGA